UACGUAGGUGACAAGCGUUGUUCGGAUUUACUGGGCGUAAAGAGCGCGCAGGCGGUCGUGCAAGUCGCGUGUGAAAGCCCCCGGCUCAACUGGGGAGGGUCACGCGAUACUGCUCGACUCGAAGGCAGGAGAGGGAAGUGGAAUUCCCGGUGUAGUGGUGAAAUGCGUAGAUAUCGGGAGGAACACCAGUGGCGAAGGCGACUUCCUGGCCUGUUCUUGACGCUGAGGCGCGAAAGCUAGGGUAGCAAACGGG
rnacentral:rRNA from 1 species